AAGUUUGACCACCCGCCUCUCCUCAAGUGUUGUCUGACCCUCAUAAUAUGGUGCCUCUAUACGCCAGGUUGUGAUGUAAAAGUCUCAAGACUAAAGCUGAAGUCUCUGCGAACUGCAAGUUCAGCAUUGUACAUUGGGGGAUCUUGCGGUGUUCAUCUAUGGUAGACACGCUGUCCAACUCAAGUUUGACCCGGAGGCAGUCGGGGCCCACAAAGAUGUGGAAUCAAAACCACAACUGGAUAACACCAAGCUUGAUGCUAUAUUUGACCAUGCCCAGGUGAAAUCUCCUGACACCCACCAUGCAAGAUGUGAGACGAAUCAUAAGAAAGAAAUGCAACAACAUAAGCUACACCAACAAGUAAAUGUAAAGAAGUCAUAAAAGCACAGAUUUUGU